rnacentral:rRNA from 1 species
UCCUACGGGAGGCAGCAGUGGGGAAUAUUGCACAAUGGGCGCAAGCCUGAUGCAGCCAUGCCGCGUGUGUGAAGAAGGCCUUCGGGUUGUAAAGCCCUGUCGGAGGGGAGGAAAAGUUGCCUGGCUAAUAUCCAGGCGACUCUUGACGGUACCCUCAAAGGAAGCACCGGCUAACUCCGUGCCAGCAGCCGCGGUA